rnacentral:tRNA from 1 species
GCCGGGUUAGCUCAGUCGGCAGAGCAUUCGCCUUGUAAGCGAACGGUCGUCGGUUCGAUUCCGACACCCGGCU